GACGAACGCUGGCGGCGUGCUUAACACAUGCAAGUCGAACGGAAAGGCCCUGCUUUUGUGGGGUGCUCGAGUGGCGAACGGGUGAGUAACACGUGAGUAACCUGCCCUUGACUUUGGGAUAACUUCAGGGAACUGGGGCUAAUACCGGAUAGGAGCUCCUGCUGCAUGGUGGGGGUUGGAAAGUUUCGGCGGUUGGGGAUGGACUCGCGGCUUAUCAGCUUGUUGGUGGGGUAGUGGCUUACCAAGGCUUUGACGGGUAGCCGGCCUGAGAGGGUGACCGGCCACAUUGGGACUGAGAUACGGCCCAGACUCCUAAGGGAGGCAGCAGUGGGGAAUAUUGAACAAUGGGCGGAAGCCGGAUGCAGCAACGCCGCGUGCGGGAUGACGGCCUUCGGGUUGUAAACCGCUUUCGCCUGUGACGAAGCGUGAGUGACGGUAAUGGGUAAAGAAGCACCGGCUAACUACGUG
rnacentral:rRNA from 1 species